UUCCUCUUCUUCUUUUUCCUCUCCCACGUUCUCUCACCCCCCCCCCCCCAGUGAAAGCUUGCCUUGAAUUUCCAUAUAUUUUCUUAAGUUAACCUCGAUUUUUCAUGUUUUUGUGUACCCUUUCCCAAAGUUCUUUGUGCUCUUCUACUUUCUCACCAUAAAAACCCUCAAAAACCUUUCCUUAUUACACUCUCUCACUAGCUGGACAUUCUAGAGAGAGAAAGUGAGAUUUUCAUGAUAGUUUGAAAGCUUUUGGGAAAGAAAUUCAAUUACAAAACUACCAAGGUGAGUAGUGAAAUUGAGUUGAUUUUUUUUAAGUUGUUGAGAAUGGCUAGUGGCUAGAUCAGUGAGUGUUUUGUAGUUGAGGUGGGUUAUUCAUUGUAGUGUGACUAGAAUAGUGAAAAUAUAUAGUCACUUGAUGGUAUAUGGAAACUAGUUAAAAACAACUAGCAGAACAUGAUUUAGUGGAUAGCUUUUAGAAAUAUAAUUAUACAAAUCGGGUUAAUUGUGAUGUUGUUGUGAUGAUAGGUCCCAACGAGGCUCCACAGUUCCAUUUGGACCAUUAGUGGAGGUUGGAGUUGAGUAAAGAUUCAACAAAUACCAAUGAGUGAAGUUGCACGAAAUGUUUUGGGAUUAAGGCACAUGUGGUUGAUUGAGACAUUUUAAUUGUUUUUCUAUAAAAUGCAUGGGAACAAGCCUUUAGUGAAAUGUUUUUGGUGAUGUGGAACAUGAUUGUGAUAAAUCUCUGUACUUUUAUAUGAUGCUGAUAUGUAUAUAAAAAUAUAUGAUAUGUAUUGCUAAGUAAUUUUGUGUAAUUGAUGUAACCGUGCAUGUGCGGAGUGGGCAGUGCAUAUGCCGAUUACAUGAUGAUGUAGUGACAAGUACAAUCGUGCAUAUGCAGAGUGGACAGUGCAUAUGCCUGUCAAAUGAUGAUGUUGUGACACUUACAACUAUGCAUGUGCAGAGUGGGGAGUGCACAUGCCGGUAAUGAUGUGCGUGUGGGGAGUGCAUGUUGGCUGAGGGAGGUGGUGGUAUUCGUGUUUAUAUAUAUAUACAUACAUGCGUAGUAGAAAGUUUAUGAAUAUAGUACGUGAUUGUAAUGUAUGUGGAAUCUUGCAUGUUGAACAGUGAAAGUUGUUAAGUAUUUUCAAAUUGAUGUUUAUUGCAG
rnacentral:lncRNA from 1 species